UACGUAGGGUGCAAGCGUUGUCCGGAAUUAUUGGGCGUAAAGAGCUCGUAGGCGGUCUGUCGCGUCUGCUGUGAAAACCUAGGGCUUAACUCUGGGCGUGCAGUGGGUACGGGCAGGCUAGAGUGCGGUAGGGGAGACUGGAAUUCCUGGUGUAGCGGUGAAAUGCGCAGAUAUCAGGAGGAACAGCCGGUGGCGAAGGCGGGUCUCUGGGCCGUAACUGACGCUGAGGCGCGAAAGCGUGGGGAGCAAACAGG
rnacentral:rRNA from 1 species